GGGUGUGAUCAUACCAACCCUGAUGCAUAGGAUCCCAUCAUAAAUCCACAGUUCAGCAUGGCGAGAGAUAGUACUAGGAUGAAUAACCUCUUGGGAAGUUCUCGUGUUGCAUCCC
rnacentral:rRNA from 1 species